rnacentral:rRNA from 1 species
UACGGAGGGGGCUAGCGUUGUUCGGAAUUACUGGGCGUAAAGCGCACGUAGGCGGAUUGUUAAGUCAGGGGUGAAAUCCUGGAGCUCAACUCCAGAACUGCCUUUGAUACUGGCGAUCUUGAGUCCGGGAGAGGUGAGUGGAACUGCGAGUGUAGAGGUGAAAUUCGUAGAUAUUCGCAAGAACACCCGUGGCGAAGGCGGCUCUCUGGGACGGUACUGACGCUGAGACGCGAAAGCGUGGGGAGCGAACAGG